UAAAUACUUCCUUUUCUAUGCACUCUUUCAUGAUUAGGCUCAUUGGUGAAAAGCAAGAAAGGAGGAGGAGGCUCAUUUGAUAAAGGAGCCAGGAGCCAACAGAACAGUUUUGCACAGAGAACAGAAGCAGACAAACAAAUGUUGCGAGAUGGAACAAACACUGCAGUGCAAAAACCAGAACCCUGGAAAGAUGAAGAACCAACUGGGGAUUUUAGUCUGGCAGGACAUAGGAAACUUGUUUUCCAGGAAUGGAACAUCUCCACAGCCACUCCUCCAAUCGCAGUAGCACACAGCAGGCUGCAGCCAGAUGAUAGAUCCUGAGAUAAAGAAUAGAACAAGAGGGUGUCUCUGCAUCUCCUCAUACACUGAAGACUUUGGCAGCCUUCAGCACCAAGCUGUGCUGUGGACUCUUUCAAGGGGACGCAGGACUAAAGGGAAAGAACCCUCCUCUUAGCUGCAGAUUGUCUUCAGGAUUACAAGUCUGCUUGGGCUGGAAUGGUGAUGCCUUUGUUAGUGGGAAUUUCUUCAUGUGAAAAUAAGGCCACAGUACAGUGAUGUACCUCAUUUGGUUUUAAGGGCUCUCCCCCACAGGACUGAAACAGACUGUGGCGUGUGAUGUAGCACACUGACCUAGAUCAAGCUCACUCUGCCCGUGCAGGGUUAGCAAGGUUUGAGGCACUCUCCCUGUACUGACACACUUUCUGCUAAAGCAGACAAUCUGUCUGUGCUAUGUUACCUUUGUGUUCAUGUGCUCUGGAUAAUUUGACAGAAAUAAAGCUGUGUGCUUGUACCAGAUGCGGAUCAAGCUGAUUCUAACAUCAUUAAGGGCAGAACAAUACAAAAAAUGAAAAAAACUUGAAAUACACUAGCUCAACUACUAACAGUUCACAAAACAGAGGCUGAUUAACUUUUGCC
ensembl:lncRNA